AGGAGGAACAGCCCCAGUGGCAGGGCCAGCUCUGCAGCCCUGGAGCCAGCUCCCGCAGCAACUACAGAGCUCUGGGUCUACAGGGCCUGGAGGCUCCGGGCGGGG
rfam:Canis lupus familiaris chromosome 8, whole genome shotgun sequence.